AAAGUAGAAAUCAAACUGGGACAAUUGGUAGAGGACGUUAUCUGGGACAGCAGUGGCAAAUAAAUUUUUCUGAAUUACCGAGAAAAGGAGGUUAUCGAUAUUUGGUGAUGUUAACGGAUACUUUUUCAGGGUGGCCAUAAGCAUUCCCUUGUAGAAUAAAUAAUGCAAGACAAGUAAUUGGAACAUGGCUAAACAGUAUAAUACCUUGUUUUGGAGUACCAGAGGCAAUUUCUUCCGACUGAGGCUCACACUUUAGUGCAAAAUUGUUACAAGAAAUUAGCAAAAAAUUAGAAAUUGAUUGGCAACUACAUGUUCCGUACAGGCCUCAGGCCAGUGGGCAAGUAGAAAAGAUGAACCAUCUGGUCAAACAACAGAUUAGUAAAAUAUGUCAGGAAACUAAUUUAUAUUGGUACCAAGCCUUACCAAUGGCUCUUAAGAAUUCAAACCAAACCUUGAUCGAAAGAAGAGGCUAGCCCAUAGAAAAUUUUAUAUGGAAGACCAUAUCAGUGCCAGUUUAAAGGAGAAAGUCUUCAGGAAGUGGGAGAAAGCUAUCUCCGAGAGUUUCUGGUCAAUCUGGGGAAACAAUUAGAAGAAAUAAAUAAGAGAAUAUUAGGGACAAGAGCGAGAGGCAUGGAUUAUCCCACUCACCCUUUCAGAUCUGGAGACUGGGUUUUUGUUAAGAAUUUUUCAGGAGAUCCUCUACAGGAGAAGUGGAGCGGACCGUACCAGAUAAUAUUGACCACCUCUACAGCAGUGAAGAUAAAGGAACAACCUGCUUGGAUACAUCAUUCAAGAAUAAAGAAAGCACCAGAGCCAGAGAAGACAUGGUGGAUCGAACCUUCAGGACCCUUACAUAUGAAAUUGCAUCAGUCAUAAUUUGGAUUUAUACGAUAACUGGUGUACAAGCUUGGGACCAAAAUUUAUGCCUGAAAUUAAUGCAGAAUAAAGUUGUUAAUCGUAGUGACUAUUGGGUGUGUGCACAGUUGCCUAAAUCAGGAGAAAAUCCAGACCUUUCAUUAAUUGGCGUUCCAAUUUCCAACACUAUCUCAUGCACAAAUUUGAGGGUGAACACUAGCAAUCUAAGUCUGAGGGAAAGGUUAAGAUUUGGGAUAGUUAAUCCUAAUCCAAGUAAAGAAUAUUAUACCUGUGUACAAAGAUGUAUUACAGCAGGAGCCAGAGUAUGAGAUUAUGAUUGUUUAAAUGCCACAGGUGUAGGUCACUAUUCAAAUUAUAAUUACACUAUUAAUGCAGAUGGUAUCAUAGUUCAUUGGUGGCCCAUUCCUGAAGGGAAAGGAUGGUAUUGGUUAUGUGGAGAAAAUGUUUAUAAGACUCUACCCCCCAGCUGGAAGGGGGCAUGCACCUUAGGUACCGUGAUGCCCAAUCUUACUAUUAUUGACAUGUAUCCUUCUGGAACCUGGGUAAGAAGUUUUCCUAAAUGGGUUAAGCGAGGGUUUAACUCUAUUGCUGAACAGAACACCGCAUUUCAUAGUUUUGUAAGAGGGCUAAUUCCAUCUUUGGGAGUAGAGUGAAUUAGAGAAGGCAAUCGUAAAUAUCUCAGCAACCAUAGAGGAAAUAGAAACCUAUCUAAAGUGGUAUUACAAAACCAAAUGGCUCUAGACAUGUUAUUGGCUUCACAAGGAGGGGUUUGUUCCAUAAUCAAUGAAAGAUGCUGUUCCUACAUAGAUCUGAGUGGCAGAAUUGAGACAGAUAUGGAGGAAAUUUGGAAACAACUAAGAUAUUUCAUGAAAUGGCCAAGGAUGGUACCUCCUGGGUGUUUGAAGACAUACGGAAAAAGUUAACUUCAUGGUUACCUGAUCUCUCCUGUCUGAAGCAACUGGUUGCAGGAAUAUUAAUAUUAAUUGCUUUAAUAUUGAUUACUUGUGGUAUGAUACAAUGUUCCUUCUGGUAUUGUAAACAAUCUAUGAUAAAUUAUGAAGAUUGGAAAAGAAAUGAAAACAA